rnacentral:lncRNA from 1 species
CUCUAAAAGUAAGAAGACAACUGAAGUCAGGUAGACAUGUCCAUCCUUUGCAUGCAUGUAGAGUGAUUCCGGGGAUGUGAAGCCUUCUGCUUCGGCAAACACACUUCGCUUCCAUGCUAGCUCUCCAAUAAGGAAGGCUAAAAUGCCAGGAGAAACCAGAUGUGAGCGAUUCAAAGCAAGGCUCAUCAUACAUGUAACCCUACUUAUCGGUGGAAGAAUUGCUCCGCCGCUUGAAUGAAGUUGAAGUAGCCGUUUCCAGGCAAUUCGAGCAUGGUGUGACACUGUCUCACUUGUUAGGAACAAACAGCUCGAUUUAGAAUUGUAUGCCUUCCAUAAGGUUCCUUUUGCUUCAUAUAAAACGCUGGAGGUAAAUCCUCUAUGACAAACUCUACAUUGUGAAUGAAAUCUGGAAAAGAUGUAAGAAAGUCCGGCAGGGCAAGACGUCCAAACCUCUGAGUAGCUGGCCUUUGGGCUGGCAAGAAAGGAAUGAGCAACCCUUUUAACGCUGCCCUUUACCAAAAUUCUGCACCUGACAAAACAAAACACAUACUAUAACCAGUGGCGGACGCAUGUGGAAGCAAACGGGUUCAACUGAACCCGCUUCAUCAAAAGCAAACACACUUCGUUUCCAUGCUAGCUCUCCAAUAAGGAAGGCCAAAAUGCCAGGAGAUACCAGAUGUGAGCGAGACAAAGCAAGGCUCAUCAUACACGUAACCCUACUUAUCGGUGGCAGAAUUGCUCCGCCGCUUGAAUGAAUUUGAAGUAGCCGUUUCCAGGCAAUUCGAGCAU